CCGCGGGAUUAGAGUUUGAUCCUGGCUCAGAUUGAACGCUGGCGGCAUGCCUAACACAUGCAAGUCGAACGGCUCCUCAUCAGUAACAAUACUGUGGGUGGCGAGUGGCAAACCGUUGAAUCAUGCAUCUUGACCUACCUGAACGUGGGGGAUAACCUAAGGAAACUUACUCUAAUACCUCAUACAUCCUACGGGAGAGAGCGGGGGACCUUCGGGCCU
rnacentral:rRNA from 1 species